rnacentral:rRNA from 1 species
AUUGAACGCUGGCGGCAUGCCUUACACAUGCAAGUCGAACGGUAACAGGUCUUCGGAUGCUGACGAGUGGCGAACGGGUGAGUAAUACAUCGGAACGUGCCUAGUAGUGGGGGAUAACUACUCGAAAGAGUGGCUAAUACCGCAUGAGAUCUACGGAUGAAAGCAGGGGAUCGCAAGACCUUGUGCUACUAGAGCGGCCGGUGGCAGGUUAGGUAGUUGGUGGGAUAAAAGCUUACAAAGCCGACGAUCUGUAGCUGGUCUGAGAGGACGAUCGGCCACACUGGGACAGAGACACGGCCCAGACUCCUACGGGAGGCAGCAGUGGGGGAAUGUGGACAAUGGGCGCAAGCCUGAUCCAGCAAUGCCGCGUGCAGGAUGAAGGCCUUCGGGUUGUAAACUGCUUUUGUACGGAACGAAAAGCCCCGGGUUAAUACCCUGGGGUCAUGACGGUACCGUAAGAAUAAGCACCGGCUAACUACGUGCCAGCCGCCGCGGUAA